ensembl:lncRNA
UUUUUUUUUUUUUUUUUUUUUUGAGAUGGAGUUUCACUCUUGUUGCCCCAGGCUGGAGUGCAAUGGCACAAUCUUGGCUCAUUGCAACCUCUGACUCCUGGGUUCAAGCAAUUCCCCUGCCUCAGCCUCUUGAGUAGCUUGGAUUAUACACAUGCACCACACCUGGCUAACUUUGUACUUUUAGUAGAGGCAGGGUUUCUUCAUGUUGGUCAGGCUGGUCUCGAACUCCUGAACUCAGGUGAUGUGCCCGCCUCAGCCUCCCAAAGUACUAGGAUUACAGGCAUGAGCCACCGUGCCCAGCCGCUGAAAUGCCCUCUUGAAAAUGAAGCUGAGAUGCCAUCUUAAGGACAACUUGUGAUGAUUGGGCAUCUUCCAGGUCAAACUGUAUACCCUUAAUUAUGGACCUGUAGAUGAUUAUCUGUUCUGAAUAUGCAGAAUACAUGCAUCUAGAAAUAAAAGGGGAGGGGGAGGAAAUGAGUGACCACUUAACAUUGAUCAAGUGGCACACAUGGGGAAUUUGUUCUUGUUACAAGUAGGAAUUUCUGGUCUCCAGAGGGAGAAUGUUUCCACCAUUGGAUACAAUAAGACUCUUCUUAAACUUUUCUAGGAAGGGCCUUAAACCCUUUAGUGAUGAGGGCUUGGGUUACCUCAAUAGUCAUAUACCAUCUACAUGAGCACAGCUGCUAACUCAGGGCAAGUGAAAACUUGAAGUUAGGUGACAAGGCAGGUGAUGAGUAUCAAAAAUGGCUUCAAGAUCAACUGCAGCAGCAUAGCCUUUAGUCCCUUCCAGAAAACAUAAAAAGGAAACCUACAGUAGCCCAGUUUAGGACAAAUAUUAAAAGAUACAUGUGACUAUGAAUGAUGCAAGGGAUGGACUAUAGUGGGUACUCUGGUUUUCUGCCCAGAUAAUCCUCUUCAGGGCUGAGACAUCCACACCCCUUCUAUCACUUUUUAUUUUUAUUUUUAUUUUUUUGAGAUAGAGUCUUGGCCUGUCACCCAGGCUGGAGUGCAGUGGCACGAUCUUGGCUCACUGUUGCCUCCGCCUCCGUAGUUCAAGCGAUUCUCCUGCCUCAGCCUCCUGAGUAGCUGGGACUACAGCCACCCGCCACCACACCCGGCUAAAUUUUUUUGUAUUUUUAGUAGAGAUGGGGUUUCACCAUGUUGGCUAGGAGGGUCUCGAUCUCCUGACCUCAUGAUCAGCCCGUCUUUGCCUCCCAAAGCGGUGGGAUUACAGGCAUGAGCCACCACGCCCAGCCGCCUUCUGUUAUUAAUAUCAACUGCCAAAAGCUCUCAGUUGCAUCCCUCAACAAAAAUUAGCCUUAGCCACAGGACACUGACUCAAACAAUGUUUCAUUCCUUCCCAAGGUGGCCUUCAGUCAUUGUUUGGCUAAUGUGCUGCUAUCAAGUCCCAGCUGCUUUGCUUCAGUUUGGAAAAGACUCAAAUCUGAAGAACCAUCACAGCUUCAGAGCUGUCAGAGCACACAAAAUUCCCGAUUAUAUCAGUGCAGUUCAUGGUGCCCCCAAAUAAUCAGAAUAGUAACAUCAAAGACCAUCAUCAUAGAUAUAGUGAAAAAGUUUGAAAUAUUGUGAAAAUUACCCAAAUGUGACACAGAGACAUGGAUUGACCACAUGCUGUUGGAAAAACUGGCACUGAUAUAUUUGCUCUGUUGUUUUGCCACAGAUCUUUAAUUUACAAAAAAGCACAGUAUCUGUGAAGCCCAAUAAAGACAGGCAUGAUAGAACUAGGUAUAUCCGUACUUAUUUCUGAUGGUUUC